GCUCAGUUGGUAAAGCACAAGACUCUUAACCUUGUGGACGUGGGUUCAAGCCCCAU
rnacentral:tRNA from 1 species